UCAUGGCUCAGUGGAAAUGAAUCUGACUAGCAUCCAUGAGGACGCAGAUUCGAUCCCUGGCCUUGCUCAGUGGGUUAAGGAUCCAGCAUUGUCACGAGCUGUGGUGUAGGUUGCGGAAGUGGCUCAGAUUCCGAGUUGCUGUGGCUGUGGCGUAGGAUGGCAGCUGUAGUUCCGAUUCAACCCCUAGCCUGGGAACUUCCAUAUGCUGUAGGUGCGGCCCUAAAGAGAGAAAUAAAAUAAAUUUUAAAAUAUGAUAUACUUUCAGCAUACUUGGAAGAACAGCUUGUUUUUUUAUUUUUUGAAGGGUGGUAGAAAUUAACAUAUGAUUGGGGACUUAGUCUCUACCAGGAAUCAUAAUAUAUGUUAUUACCCUGUUUAAGCCUCACUGUAAUGCUGAGAGGUGUGAGAUAAUGUUCCCAUUUUGUAGAUGAGGAAACUGAGGCUGAGCAAGGUGGAGAGUAACUUGUCGCAGAUCACACCGCUAAGUGACAGAACUGGACUUCGAAAUCAGGCGUGCACGGCUCUGAAAUCCAUCUCCUUUGUACUCUGCCAUCUUACUUCUGUUGACUUAAAACAAUAGCUUGACUUAUGUAGCGUCAAGAAUUAGGAGAUAAAUAUAGGGUAUAUUUACGAUGUUAGGAAAUGAACUCUGUGAGAUGUCUCUAUGUUGAAGUUAAAAACAAGGAAACCUGUUCCAUAUUUGUGAAGACUUAAGGGCAAGGAAUUCACACAAAUGUCAGGGAAACACUAAGUUUAGAGCCCCCUGCCCCGCUCCCGAAACCUUACAGGAGCAACUGUUGCUUGUUACUCAGUUCUGAACACGUGGCUGGCAGUGGAUCUGGAAAGGAUCGAACCCUGCAACCUCAUGGUUCCUAGUCAGAUUUGUUUCCGAUGCACCACAACGGGAACUCUUUGCAAGCAAUUAUUUAUAGAUCCAUUUUUAAAACACAAACUAUUUAGAAAACAGACUUCAUGUAAUCUUUUGAUUCAACUGAAUGUUUAGAUAUUUAUUUUACAGUCUCUUUUCCUUUUCUGACUUAUUUUCAAGUGUACUGAGAUUAUGAAAUUCUUUUAUAUGAGUUUUGUUUUAAUGAAAUGGAAUUCCUGCCUCCAGUGUAAUGACCCAAAUCAGAGCCUAGAAUCACUGGAGAGAAAAUAAUUGCCAGAAUUUUAUUCAAGCUCCUAAGAGAUCCUGCUAGUUGCCAAAAUUUUGUUCAACAGUCUAAAGAAAUUGUUUUGGUGUUUUUUCCUUUUGGCAACGUAGUGGAAUCUCUUUGCCACUUGAUUUCUAACUAUUCUCUUUACCCAACUUUUCCAUUCUGUUAUAUAUUAUUUCUCAUAUUUUGUAUGUAUUUUGUAUUUUGUACUCUCUUGUGUUUUAAAGAUUUUUUUUUUUUCCUCCUUAGUUAGUUUUUGGCACUAUAAUGCAGAUAUUGUUUACCAAAAAAAGGCCAGUAAGGUAGAAAAAUAUUUCUUGUUGAUAAUAAUGCUGACGGAUAAUUGCUGUCUUGCUUACAUCCUAUUAUCUCUUAAAUCAAAAAUUCAUAAAUAAUCAAAUUAAGAAUAAUUGAAGGUUGGGAGUUCCCAUUGUGGCUGAGCAGAAAUGAACCUGACUAAUAUCUGUGAGGAUAUGGGUUCGAUCCUGACCCCACUCAGUGGGUUAAGGAUCUGGCAUUGCCAUGAGCUGCAGCAUAGGUCACACAUGUGGCAUUGCUGUGGCUAUGGCAUGCGUAGGCUGGCAGCUUUAGCUCUGAUUUGACCCUAGCCUGGGAACCUAAAAAAAAAAAAAAAAAGAGUAAUUGAAGGUUGUAGUUCCCAGUGUGGCGCAGUAGGUUAAGAAUCUGACUGCAGUGGCUCUGGUCACUGU
rnacentral:lncRNA from 1 species